GCCCAGGUGGUGAAAUUGGUAGACACGCAGGCUUGAGGGGCCUGUGGAAGCAAUUCCGUGAAAGUUCGAGUCUUUUCCUGGGCA
rnacentral:tRNA from 1 species